CGGUUGAUCCUGCCGGACCCGACUGCUAUUUGGGUGAGGAUAAACCAUGCGAGUUGAAUGGGAUACCUAAAUUUCCCAUGGCAAACUGCUCAGUAACACAUGAUCAACUUACCCUAUAGAGAAAAAUAACCUCAGGAAACUGAGGAUAAUGUUUCAUAGUUGAAUAGGCUUGGAAAAGUUAUUCAACAAAAGGGAUAAAAACAUGGUUUUUAUCCGCUAUAGGAUAGGAUCGUGUUCGAUUAUGGUUGUUGGUGAGGUAACGGCUCACCAAGCCGAUAAUCGAUAGGGGCCGUGAGAGCGGGAGCCCCGAGAUGGGUACUGAGACAACGACCCAGGCCUUACGAGGCGCAGCAGGCGCGAAACCUCCACAAUACACGAAAGUGUGAUGGGGUUACCCAAAGUGUUCAAUUCUGAACUGUGGUAGGUGAGUAAUGUUCCCUACUAGAAAGGAGAGGGCAAGGCUGGUGCCAGCCGCCGCGGUAAAACCAGCUCUUCAAGUGGUCGGGAUAAUUAUUGGGCUUAAAGUGUCCGUAGCCGGUUUAGUAAGUUCCUGGUAAAAUCGGGUAGCUUAACUAUCCGUGUGCUAGGAAUACUGCUAUACUAGAGGGCGGGAGAGGUCUGAGGUACUACAGGGGUAGGGGUGAAAUCUUAUAAUCCUUGUAGGACCACCAGUGGCGAAGGCGUCAGACUGGAACGCGCCUGACGGUGAGGGACGAAAGCCAGGGGAGCGAACCGGAUUAGAUACCCGGGUAGUCCUGGCUGUAAACGAUGCAUACUAGGUGAUGGUACGGCCAUGAGCCGUAUCAGUGCCGUAGGGAAACCGUUAAGUGUGCCGCCUGGGAAGUACGGUCGCAAGGCUAAAACUUAAAGGAAUUGGCGGGGGAGCAC
rnacentral:rRNA from 1 species